UUCAGGAGAGUAUCUGUGUGUUGCUGAAAAUGAGAUGGGAGGAUGAUAUCUCUGAAAGUACAGGUUGAAAUGUUUAUCGUUAUCACUGCUUUUUGAUAUUUGUGUUACGACUAUUACAUUCGUAAUCAGUUUUAAUAAGCAGGUUAAUCAGUAAUCAGUUUAGUCCACCACUGUUAAUAUUUGUGCUGCAGUUGCAGGCGGUUACUCUCACUGGGAGCUGUGGGAGCCAUGCAGUGUCACAUGUGGGUGUGGCCUCCAACAGUGAAUCAGAUUUUGCAACAACUCAAAACCAACCAAAGGGGGAGCAGCAUGUGAGGGUUCAGAUGUUGAGUCCAGGCAGUGCCAGACAUCCUUAUGUUCAGAUUAUUUAUUUGUUUGUUUUAAAAAAAAACCCUUAAUAAAUUAAACAAAUAGAAAAAAUUACAGUCAUAUUCAUACAUACUCAUUCUCUCUGUAUCUUGCUCUUUGUCUGUCCUUGGUAUCUGUCUGUCUGUAGGAGACUCUCUCCAUAGGGCUCGUGCCAGUGUGAUCGGGAUGGUGAAUGAUCGUGAGUUUGGUGUGUCUUUCCUUGUAGUGAACAUCAGUGAGAACUCAGAGCAGAUGCAGCAUACUGGAGGUUCACAUGGAGAACGUUCCUCCCAGUGUGGGUCCUUUGCUGAAAGUUGUUGUAUCUGCUUUGACUCCGGUGUACUGGACGGCUGUUCAUGUAUCAGCAGGAAUGAUGAACGGCUUCACCAUCAGCCGCAGGAAUUUCAGACAAGAAUCCUAACUGGAGUUUCACACAGGAGAGAUCUUAAGAAUAACCCAUGUGGUGAGAGGUGUGGAUGCAGAGGGAGUUUUGCUAGUCGAUGUGGUCAUUAAUGCAUUUAUUCCUGCAGUGUUUUUAUCCCCAGUGCUACAUCAGCAGGUCUUAAUUUACGCUUCAUUAGAACUUCACAUUAAUCAUCGAUGCAUUAAUAACAUUAAUCAGAUGUGUGGAAUAAAGAUCAUCUUGGGUAAAACUCCUUGUUUCUAGGAGUUUGAUGAGACGUAUGUGCAAGUUGGCUCUGGUCAGAUUUACUCCUGGUCUACCCAGAAUUCUUUUCAGCAGGGUGUCAGCUCGGUGCUGACUCUGCGCUGUAAUCACUCGCUGGAGUUUGAUGGAUCAGUGAAAUGUUUCGCUCCACUACUGAAGCAAAUCUGUCAGACAUCAGCAGCUCCUACAACAUGCUCAACUUCAGGCUGUACUUUCACAUCACAGCCACAUUAUCACUGCCAGGUCAUCACAACCAUACAACAAUACUAAUGACAAUACUCACAUCACAACCAUACAACAAUACUAAUGACUAUACUCACAAAGUCCAUCAAUUUCAUCAUGGUCAUGUUCGGGGCUGAGCAGGAGGACCGACAUACACCAUGUCUGGAACGUCAGUAAAAGUCCAAAAUAAUUCUGUAAAAAACCUUCAGUUUUGCUACAUAAUUAUAAAAUAGAUCAGGGCAUGCGUGUUUUAUUUUGUGUAGAUGAUGAGGGAGAGAAAUGCCCAGAAGGAUUCUGGAUGAAGCAUUUUACUGUGCUGACGAGGAUGAGUGUGUGUGUCAGAUUCUCUAUGUUCUCAGUCCUGCAUUAACAUCAUGGAGGGCUUAGCUGCAGCUGUCCAUCAGGAUUCACCAUCAACACCGAGAGCAACAGCUGUCAAGG